CAUCAGGGUCCUUGUUCCCAGGUCUUUGAACUAAAACUGAAUUAUACCUCCACUUUUACUGGUUCUUCAGUUUUCAGACAACUUAUCACUGGAUUUGUCAAGUCUUCAUAAUCACAAGAGCCAAUUCCCAUAAUAAAUCCCCUCAUAUAUUUAUGACAAGGAACUUUGUGUUGUCAAACGGAUAAGGAGGAAAAGAAACUAAAUUUUUGCCCUAAGGUAGAGUGCCAAUAUAGAAAAGCAUUACCGGACAAAACUGAAGGUCUGAGUAACUUGAAGAUGGUUUGUAGAAGAUUAAUCAUGUGGAAGAAAUCUUGUGUGUGAUCAAGUUGGGUAAAAUGAGAUUAGUUUCUCUAAAAAUUGAGCGUCAAUAUCAAGGGACACUAAUGCUAGGCCACAGUCUGGGUCCCUGUGUAGGAAUAACAGAAUUUUCUAAAAACAUUGAUCUGCUCUUUAAUAGAAAAUGUUAGAGAUUCUGAAAAA